GAAGGUUGGAAUUCUGACGUUGAUUUCUAUUCAUGGGCUGAUGGCAAGAAACUUUAUGUCGGAGACAUAUUAGUGAGUCAAAUAUACACUUCCAGAACUCAAUAUUAGAGGAGAGGAUCGUUUCUGCUUCUGAUCCGAAAGGAAGAGUGAGUGAAUAAUCUUCAAAUUGAAAUAAAGUUUUCAACUAUGCUAAGGAUGAGCACAAUGUCAUCGUAGUCAAUGCUACUGGGUAUGAUAAGUGCCUUGCCUCUCCAAACAUGGGAGCCUUCGACAGUGGCAAUGACAAGAUAACCUUGACAACUCCGGGGAACAAAUAUUACAUAUGUCAAUGGCAUGGCGAUUACGCAGACCAAAAGCUGAUGAUCAGUGUCUUGACGAAGAGGAUGUCGGCCGGCACACCCGAAUCUUCACCUGCAUUACCGCCAUCCUAAGCAAAACCUUAUCAGAAACCUUGGUGGAGAUUGCGACUUCCUUACUAGUUUGCAUGCGUUGGAAUGCAAGUGUGAGUAUGAA